GUUAGGAAUAUUGGACAAUGGGCGCAAGCCUGAUCCAGCCAUGCCGCGUGAGUGAUGAAGGCCUUAUGGUUGUAAAGCUCUUUCAGUGGGGACGAUAAUGACGGUACCCACAGAAGAAGCCCCGGCUAACUUCGUGCCAGCAGCCGCGGUAAUACGAAGGGGGCUAGCGUUGUUCGGAUUUACUGGGCGUAAAGCGCACGUAGGCGGAUCGUUAAGUCGGGGGUGAAAUCCUGGAGCUCAACUCCAGAACUGCCUUCGAUACUGGCGAUCUUGAGUCCGGAAGAGGUGAGUGGAACUCCUAGUGUAGAGGUGGAAUUCGUAGAUAUUAGGAAGAACACCAGUGGCGAAGGCGGCUCACUGGUCCGGUACUGACGCUGAGGUGCGAAAGCGUGGGGAGCAAACAGGAUUAGAUACCCGAGUAGUCC
rnacentral:rRNA from 1 species